AUGAAAAUACUAACUCUUGCUGACCUAAUUUACUUUAAUAAAAAUGUUGAAAAUACUAACCCUUGCAAAAAUUUAAUAUGCAACAACACUCCCUUCAUAAUCUUUGAGUCACUUGGUUUUACCUUGGAAUAACACCAAAAAGUGGUCAACAGUAAUAUAAGUCUAAAUAGCAUGAAUUUUUACAACAUUUUUUUAAAUAGAGUUUGUGUGUCCAAUAAAUAUAUAGGUAUAAUUUCCCCUGCUUAGGGAUACUUUCCAACACAUGUAACUGGAAAAUUCCAUGGGAUAUCCAUGCUUAAAUGAAAUAAUACCUUGAUCCAAUCAUGAAGUAGAGAAAUAACUCUUGCAUUCUCCUAGUUCAUCCAAAGUUACUAUAGCUCCUGAAAAUCAUUUAAAAUAUAUUUAGAAAGACAAAAAUCAGAAGAACAAAACUAACAUCCAAAACUUAUUUUAAGAGUAGUUAGGAUCUCUUGGUUUUUUUUAUCAGCUAAUUAAAUUAAAGGAUACUUAAGGGGCCCUUUAACAAAAAAAUGCAAAAGCAACAAAGAUGUUCUAAUCAUCUAUGUCUCUAUUACAACCCUACACUAGUGCUUAUAACAGAGAAAUGCGCAGCUAAGAAUCCCUUUAAUGCAUCAUCAGUGCAUAAACAAGACAACACUAUAUUCCACACAUUAUGCAUCACCCUAAAAAUUCAGAAAGCACAACACUUUAAUUACAUAGGACAGAACCAGUGGUGACACUAACAAGUCAGAGGAGCAUUAUCCAAACUUCACAACAUGACCAUGAUUAGGAGGGCCUCUGGAAAACUCCCACUAGAGAAUGAUGUGAUUGGAGGAUAUGUAACUAUAAUACCAUAAAGCAUGCCACCUUCCAUCAGAAUUCCACCGCAAUACGAAAUGACUUAGCCAUGAUACUUCCUCGUGCAUAAAGAUAUGUGCCUGUUUUAUGUGUGGUAGGAAUUGAUUUCUAGACAACACCUGCAUCAACUGCAUAGACGAAUACCGCAGAAAAUAUAACAGUUUAAGGCUCCUUAGUGCAAAACGCAGGUAAUAACCAGCCAUCAAAGGAAAGGAUGAGCAAAAAACAUAUUUCAUAUCUAGAUAGAGUGAACAACCGCAUGUCCCAGGGCAUGGUUAAAUAAUGUUGCUACAAAUUCCUCGAGCCUACUCUCAUAUAUCACAAAGUAUAUCAUAAAUGAUUUUGUGGUUUUUUUCAUAAUGUUCAAAAGGGGAUUGUAUGGUAAAACUGAAAUUGUUAUAUGCUAAAGUUUUGGAAUUUGAUUAAUAUUAUUAUUGGGUUGUUAAGAUUUAAUUAGUUAGGAUUUUAUCAUUUAUUUAUUUUAUUAGGAUUUUAUCAUUUAUUUAUUUUAUUAGGAUUUUAUCAUUUAUUUAAUUAGUUAGGAUUUUAUUAGGAUUUUAUUGGGAUUUUAUGAUAUUUAGUACUCUAUAAAUAGAGUAUUGAACUAUUAUUUGAGAUAUGAAUAAUAUAUGCAAUUUGUUUCCUUUUCUCAAUUCUCUAUCAAUUCUCUAUCAUUGUUCUUGUUCUUGGUAUAAUCGGAAACCACCUAAAGGUUCCCUUUGUCCAAAGCCUAAUCGUUCUUCGAAAUCUCUUACGAGAUGACCUAGACGCUUCUACACACGAUCGUUCAUAUCAAUUGGUAUCAGCUAGGACCUUCCAGUACUUUCAAUGGCAGAUUCAACACGCUUCGCUCAAGCUGCUAAGGAGAUGGAAGAUCGAAUCUCCCAAAGGAUGGAUAAUAGGUUUCUGGAACUCGCGAAUACGUUGAAGGAAACCUUGACUCUUUCUAUAAAAGACACCAUGCAGGAAUUACUUACUCAAUCUCAAGGAGAAGGGGCCCAUGGCCUCUCCAAUGACAACAUGGGGUUUGGUGCAAUAUGCGAUGAUCCCAUGGUUGAGUUGUUGCGUUUACGACAAAAGACUUCAGUUGAUGCCUAUCAUGAAGAGUUCAAUUCAAUCAUUACAACAUUGAAGUUAUCUGAUGAUCAUAUUCUAGGGUGCUUCCUUGGUGGAUUAAAGAAAGAAAUCCAGAUGAUGGUAAGAAUGUUCCGACCUCAGUCUCUACAACAUGCGUUUACAUUGGCCAGGACGUAUGAAGGACAUAAUUCAAGCAAUUCGAUGGCCAAAUUCCACAGGGGAGUCUUGGGUCCAGCACCAGUGCCUAUAUCGUCGUCUGCUUCAAUCAAUGUGGCCCCUAAACCCAAACCAACACACCACUUCCCACUUGAGUUCAUAGCAGAACGUAGGGCCAAAGACCUUCUUCACGUCAUGGAGAUGGAGGAAGAUGACUCAUAUGAUAGUCCUCCCAGUUAUGUGACUGAAUUAUUGCAAAGGAAUGAGCCACAAAUCACAGUCAACGCAUUAACCAUAGUGGUUGGGUUCAGAACCAUGAGAAUAGUUGGAUAUCAUAAAAAACGACCUUUACAUAUUCUCAUUGAUAGUGGCAGCACUCAUAAUUUCAAAGAUACCCAAAUGGAUAAAAAAUAUGGGUGCAUAAUUGAUACGAUUGCCCAUUUGAAUGUCAUGGUAAGCUGAGCUCUACCACAAACCUUAAAAAAAUUAAGAAGGUUUUUGGGCUUAGCUGGAUAUUAUAGAAGAUUUGUUCGUGGGUAUGACGUCAUUGCUACACCUGAUAUGCUUAAGAAGGAUAAUUUCAUUUGAAGACGAAGUACCAUUGUUCCAUUCUUGAGGGCAAGAAUGUUGUUGAGGGGAGGGCAUUGUUAUAUGCUAAAGUUUUGGGAUUUGAUUAAUAUUAUUAUUGGGUUGUUAAGAUUUAAUUAGUUAGGAUUUUAUCAUUUAUUUAUUUUAUUAGGAUUUUAUUAGGAUUUUAUCAUUUAUUUAAUUAGUUAGGAUUUUGUUAGGAUUUUAUUAGGAUUUUAUGAUAUUUAGUACUCUAUAAAUAGAGUAUUGAACUAUUAUUUGAGAUAUGAAUAAUAUAUGCAAUUUGUUUCCUUUUCUCAAUUCUCUAUCAAUUCUCUAUCAUUGUUCUUGUUCUUGGUAUAAUCGGAAACCACCUAAAGGUUCCCUUUGUCCAAAGCCUAAUCGUUCUUCGAAAUCUCUUACGAGAUGACCUAGACGCUUCUACACACGAUCGUUCAUAUCAGAAAUCGAGAAAGAAAAACUCAAAAAAAUUUAUUCCAAUCAAAUAAUCUUACCUCUGACGGUAGGGUUUGACUCGCUAAUGGAUGCACUAUUCUUUGCCACUUCACUACUUCGAUUUUUCAAAGUUAGGGUUGAAUACGAAAAUCGUGUGCUCUCAAAUGGGGAAGCUUCACUCUUAGAUUUCGAUUUUGGGUUUCGAUUUGGCAACGAGUUUCAUACAUUGGAUUUGGAAACCAGUAAGCUUUGGGAUUUCGCUUUUGGGAUUUGGCUUUUGGAUCUGGGAACAAAGUUCAGAGCUUUAAUUUGGAAACAUGGUUGAAAGUUUUGAUUUGUGAACGCAAUUUAGAGGUUUGAUCUGGCAACGACGUUCAGAGCUUUGGUUUGGAAACAACCUUCAGAGGUGAGAUUAAGAGGUUCAAAGGUGUUCUCAUUCAGGAUGGGCAUUUGUUUCUGAAACCAAAACAUUUUCAAAAUUUUCCAAACAAAAAAAA
rnacentral:lncRNA from 1 species